rnacentral:rRNA from 1 species
AACGAACGCUGGCGGCAGGCCUAACACAUGCAAGUCGAGCGAGGACUUCGGUUCUAGCGGCGGACGGGUGAGUAACGCGUGGGAAUGUGCCCUUCUCUACGGAAUAGCCCUGGGAAACUGGGAGUAAUACCGUAUACGCCCUAUUGGGGAAAGAUUUAUCGGAGAAGGAUCAGCCCGCGUUGGAUUAGGUAGUUGGUGGGGUAAUGGCCUACCAAGCCGACGAUCCAUAGCUGGUUUGAGAGGAUGAUCAGCCACACUGGGACUGAGACACGGCCCAGACUCCUACGGGAGGCAGCAGUGGGGAAUCUUAGACAAUGGGGGCAACCCUGAUCUAGCCAUGCCGCGUGAGUGAUGAAGGCCUUAGGGUUGUAAAGCUCUUUCAGCUGGGGAGAUAAUGACGGUACCAGCAGAAGAAGCCCCGGCUAACUCCGUG